CUGGCCUUGACAUCCAGAGAACUUUCCAGAGAUGGAUUGGUGCCUUCGGGAACUCUGAGACAGGUGCUGCAUGGCCGUCGUCAGCUCGUGUCGUGAGAUGUUGGGUUAAGUCCCGUAACGAGUGCAACCCCUAUCCCUGGUUGCUAGCAGGUAAUGCUGAGAACUCCAGGGAGACUGCCGGUGACAAACCGGAGGAAGGUGGGGAUGACGUCAGGUCAUCAUGGCCCUUACGGCCAGGGCUACACACGUGCUACAAUGGCGCGUACAGAGGGCUGCCAACUCGCGAGAGUGAGCCAAUCCCUUAAAACGCGUCGUAGUCCGGAUCGGAGUCUGCAACUCGACUCCGUGAAGUCGGAAUCGCUAGUAAUCGCGAAUCAGAAUGUCGUGGUGAAUACGUUCCC
rnacentral:rRNA from 1 species